rnacentral:rRNA from 1 species
AUUGAACGCUGGCGGCAGGCCUAACACAUGCAAGUCGAGCGGUAACAGGGGGUGCUUGCACCCCGCUGACGAGCGGCGGACGGGUGAGUAAUGCAUAGGAAUCUGCCCGAUAGUGGGGGAUAACCUGGGGAAACCCAGGCUAAUACCGCAUACGUCCUACGGGAGAAAGGGGGCUUCGGCUCGCGCUAUCGGAUGAGCCUAUGUCGGAUUAGCUAGUUGGUGGGGUAAUGGCCCACCAAGGCAACGAUCCGUAGCUGGUCUGAGAGGAUGAUCAGCCACAUCGGGACUGAGACACGGCCCGAACUCCUACGGGAGGCAGCAGUGGGGAAUAUUGGACAAUGGGGGGAACCCUGAUCCAGCCAUGCCGCGUGUGUGAAGAAGGCCCUCGGGUUGUAAAGCACUUUCAGUGAGGAAGAACGCCUGGUGGUUAAUACCCAUCAGGAAAGACAUCACUCACAGAAGAAGCACCGGCUAACUCCGUGCCAGCAGCCGCGGUAAUACGGAGGGUGCGAGCGUUAAUCGGAAUUACUGGGCGUAAAGCGCGCGUAGGUGGCUUGAUAAGCCGGUUGUGAAAGCCCCGGGCUCAACCUGGGAACGGCAUCCGGAACUGUCAAGCUAGAGUGCAGGAGAGGAAGGUAGAAUUCCCGGUGUAGCGGUGAAAUGCGUAGAGAUCGGGAGGAAUACCAGUGGCGAAGGCGGCCUUCUGGACUGACACUGACACUGAGGUGCGAAAGCGUGGGUAGCAAACAGG